UGGACUGUGGUCUUGGAUGUAAAUGUGCCAAAACGUAUCCAAUUGUACACUUUCGAUAGUGCACAUUAUCGGUUCCGUUAUGCUUCAGCAAAGGCGCUGUUUUAAAAGACAACCCAGGUUGACGUGCUGGAAGGACAGAGGAGAGCCCUCCACAGAGCGGUCGGGUCAGGACACGGCCGAGGGGACAGGCCUGCGGCACACGGACGCCGCAUCAGUGUUUGUUGAAGCACAGGGCUGGCCUCCUUCCUGCAUCUGUUCUGGAACCACUGUUUGGCCAGACCGGGACCCACUUACUCCUUCCUCUUCGAGGGACACCGGGGGUGCUACCUGUGACUCUCAGCCACAGACAGCGUACGGGGGGCGGCCCCACGCACAUCCUUCUGAGAGCGAAGAAGAAAAUCGUAACAGCCAGUUUUCGCACAACGCAGAGGCCAGCACGCUCCCACGGUGCACCUUGACGGCACCACCCCCGUCUUAGUCUGGCCCUGAAGAGGACACUGCCCGGCCGGGCGGCCGGCCGGCCGAACUUGGGCAAGUACCCUGCAUGCCCUGGUAAGACCCGUGGUGACCACAGGGUGGGAAAGGCCAGGAGCUUCCAGGAAAACCUUCGGGAUCCGACGGUCUAGGAGAUGCCGGCACGUCCUGUCUGAACUAAGGGAAUUCGCCGCGCCCGACAGCACCCGCUUCUGCGAGGCCCAGUGCUCGGUGACACUCUAGACUGGGGGUGCGGCACGCACCAGCACACGCAGUCUU